rnacentral:misc_RNA from 1 species
GAUGAAGAACGCAGCGAAAUGCGAUAAGUAGUGUGAAUUGCAGAAUUCAGUGAAUCAUCGAAUCUUUGAACGCACAUUGCGCCCCUUGGUAUUCCAUGGGGCAUGCCUGUUCGAGCGUCAUUUGUACCUUCAAGCUUUGCUUGGUGUUGGGUGUUUGUCCCGAGGAACUCGCCUUAAAGUAAUUGGCAGCCAGUGUUUGGUUUUGAAGCGCAGCACAAGUCGCGAUUCAAGGCUACACGCCCGCUUCCACAAGCCUUUUUUCACUUUUGACCUCGGAUCAGGUAGGGAUACCCGCUGAACUUAAGCAUAUCAAUAAGCGGAGGA